CUGCUGCCUUCCGUAGGAGUUUGGGCCGUGUCUCAGUCCCAAUGUGCCGUCCACCCUCUCAGGCCGGCUACUGAUCGUCGCUUUUGGAAGGCCGUUACCCUGCCAACUGGCUAAUCAGACGCGGGUCCAUCAUAUACCACCGGAGUUUUUCACACUGAGUCAUGCGACUCCGUGCGCUUAUGCGGUUUUAGCAGCAAUUUCUCGCUGUUAUCCCCCUGUAUAUGGCAGGUUACCCACGCGUUACUCACCCCG
rnacentral:rRNA from 1 species